GGAAUCUUGGACAAUGGGGGCAACCCUGAUCCAGCCCAGCCGCGUGAACGAUGAAGGCCCUAGGGGUGUAAAGUUCUUUCACCGGUGAAGAUAAUGACGGUAGCCGGAGAAGAAGCCCCGGCCAACUCUGUGCCAGCAGCCGCGGUAAUACGGAGGGGGCUAGCGUUGUUCGGAAUUACUGGGCGUAAAGCGCGCGUAGGCGGAUUGUUAAGUCGGGGGUGAAAUCCCGGGGCUCAACCCCGGAACUGCCUUCGAUACUGGCAAUCUAGAGGUCGAGAGAGGUGAGUGGAAUGGCGAGUGUAGAGGUGAAAUUCGUAGAUAUUCGCCGGAACACCAGUGGCGAAGGCGGCUCACUGGCUCGAUACUGACGCUGAGGUGCGAAAGCGUGGGGAGCAAAC
rnacentral:rRNA from 1 species